AACGGAGCUUAUAUUUCAGAAGUUUUCGGAUGGACGAGAGAUAAGCUUAGUGGCGGACGGGUGAGUAACACGUGAGCAACCUGCCUUUCAGAGGGGGAUAACAGUUGGAAACGACUGCUAAUACCGCAUAACGCUGCGAUGGGGCAUCCCGAUGCAGCCAAAGGAGCAAUCCGCUGAAAGAUGGGCUCGCGGCCGAUUAGCUAGUUGGUGGGGCAACGGCCCACCAAGGCGACGAUCGGUAGCCGGACUGAGAGGUUGAUCGGCCACAUUGGGACUGAGACACGGCCCAGACUCCUACGGGAGGCAGCAGUGGGGGAUAUUGCACAAUGGAGGAAACUCUGAUGCAGCGACGCCGCGUGAGGGAAGACGGUCUUCGGAUUGUAAACCUCUGUCUUUGGGGAAGAAAAUGACGGUACCCAAAGAGGAAGCUCCGGCUAACUACGUGCCAGCAGCCGCGGUAAUACGUAGGGAGCGAGCGUUGUCCGGAAUUACUGGGUGUAAAGGGAGCGUAGGCGGGCGAGAAAGUUGAAUGUUAAAUCUACCGGCUUAACUGGUAGCUGCGUUCAAAACUUCUUGUCUUGAGUGAAGUAGAGGCAGGCGGAAUUCCUAGUGUAGCGGUGAA
rnacentral:rRNA from 1 species